UACAGAGGGUGCGAGCGUUGUUCGGAAUUAUUGGGCGUAAAGAGCGCGCAGGCGGUCGUGCAAGUCGCGUGUGAAAGCCCCCGGCUCAACUGGGGAGGGUCACGCGAUACUGUUCGACUUGAAGGCAGGAGAGGGAAGUGGAAUUCCCGGUGUAGUGGUGAAAUGCGUAGAUAUCGGGAGGAACACCAGUGGCGAAGGCGACUUCCUGGCCUGUUCUUGACGCUGAGGCGCGAAAGCUAGGGUAGCAAACGGG
rnacentral:rRNA from 1 species